CAAUAGCGUAUAUUUAAGUUGUUGCAGUUAAAAAGCUCGUAGUUGGAUUUCGGUUAAGAGCGACCGGUCCGCCGUUUGGUGUGCACUGGUUGGUUUUAACUUCCUGUAGAGGACGUGCUCUGGGUUUAACGACCUGGACUCGGAGUCUACGUGGUUACUUUGAAAAAAUUAGAGUGUUCAAAGUGGGCUUACGCUUGAAUAUUUCAGCAUGGAAUAACACUAUAGGACUCCUGUCCUAUUUCGUUGGUCUCGGGACGGGAGUAAUGAUUAAGAGGAACAGUUGGGGGCAUUCGUAUUUCAUUGUCAGAGGUGAAAUUCUUGGAUUUAUGAAAGACGAACUUCUGCGAAAGCAUUUGCCAAGGAUGUUUUCAUUAA
rnacentral:rRNA from 1 species